GCCACAGUCAAAGAUGGAGAAUCCAUGGUGCCACUUUCCCGGUGAUCCCGGUGGGGGAAGGGGUUGCCGCCCGGCAGAGAUUCAGUCCCGAAUCCCGACAGCGAAGAGACUUGUAUGCCACCUGCAGGCCGGGGAGCGGGGCGCGCUGGGGCUGCACCACCCCGAACUUUGUAACAAUCUAGAGCACCACAGAGUGUUUCCAGGUCGGCACAAAAGCGAACGGGACAGGGCGCCCUGGGCGGCGGCAGCUUGGCCGGCCCGCUGCCUAGCGCGCCCCCGAGGGGCGGUAAUGGAACGUACCUUUGGCUGAAGAAAGAGUGCUCCCGGCCAGCGCGGGGUCGCCUAGGGGGUUCCGCGCUGCCUAAUGCAAAGGAUGGAAAAGUUACAGAAGCAGGUCCUGACACCACCUAUGUCUAGAGAUGGGUUUCAGCAGCCCAGGCUGGUCUCGAACUCCUGGACUCAAGUGAUUGGCCCUCCUCGGCCUCCCAAAGUCCUGGGAUUACAAGCGUGAGCCACCAUGCUCAGUUGGCGGGGGAUUAUCUGUGAUCCAAUGAAGUUGGACUAGAGAUGUGAAGCCUUAGAAAACGGUGGAUUGAAAAAAGAAUUUUAGUCUCCUCCAGAGAUUAUAUUUUGUGUGUUCAUUGCUCUCAAAAACAUGAAAAUAAAGAGUAUUUUAUAUUGUGAUUUGUAGGACAAUAGCAUGCUUGUAUAUUGCUGCCCAGAAUUUAAUGCUCCAAUAUUUAUUUAUUUAUUUAUUUAUUUAUGAGACAGAGUCUUGCCCUGACAGGCUGGUGCAGUCUCGGCUCACUGCAACUUCCGCCUCCUGGGUUCAAGUGAUUCUCCUCUUUCAGCUUCCCAAGUAACUGGGACUACAGGUGUGCCACCAUGCUAAGCUAAUUUUUGUAUUUAGUAGAGACGGUGUUGCACCAUGUUGGCCAGGUUGGUCUCGAACUCCUGACCUCAAGUGAUCCGCCUGCCUCGGCCUCCCAAAGUGCUGGAAUUACAGGCGUGAGCCACCGUGCCCAGCCUCCAAAAUUUAUUUUAAAAAAUUAUCUCUAACAUUGAAUUAGUACAUUAUUCUUUGAAGAUAAACUGAUCUACGUGGUACUACUCAAGGUGCACUUUGGACACCAGAGGGCACUGGUAUUUUUCCCGAGAGAAAAGAAAAAAGCAUACACCUUGUCAACUUGGUUUUUGAGGUGGCUUAAGGGAUAUUGGCAGCCACCUCCAUUUAUUCCUGUAGAACUGUUUAGAGAGGUAUAUGAGCUUUUUGAAGGGGGUCUGACCCUCCACACCUGUGGGUAUUUCUCAUCAGGUGGAGCCGAGAGACUGAGAAAAGAAAUAAGACACAGAGACAAAGUAUAUAGAAAGAACAGUGGGCCCAGGAGACUGGCGCUCAAUGUGCAAGGACCCGCACCAGCGCUGGUCUCUGAGUUCCCUCAGUAUUUAUUGAUCACUAUUUUUACUAUCUUGGCGAGGGGAGUGUGGCAGGGCAACAGGGUGAUGGUGGGGAGAAGGUCAGCAGGAAACAUGUGAGCAAAGGAAUCUGUAUCAUGAAUAAGUUCAAGGAAAGGUACUACGCCUGGAUGUACACAUAGGCUAGAUUUAUGUUUCACUUUACACAAACAUCUCAGUGUAGCAAAGAGUAACAGAGCAGUAUUGCUGCCAGCAUAUCUCGCCUCCAGCCACAGGGCGGUUUUCUCCUAUCUCAGAAUAGAACGAAUGGUCAGCUUUACACUGAGACAUUCCAUUCCCAGGGACGAGCAGGAGACAGAAACCUUCCUCUUAACUGCAAAGAGGCCUCCCUCUUUCACUACUCCUCCUCAGCACAGACCCUUCACGGGUGUCAGGCUGGGGGAUGUAAGGCCUUUCCUUUCCCACAAGGCCAUAUCUCAGGCUGUCUCAGUUGCGGGAAAGCUUGGACAAUACCCAGGCUUUCUUGGGCAGAGGUCCCUGCGGCUUUCCACAGUGCAUUGUGUCCCUGGUUAACAGAGAAUGGAGAAUGGUGAUGACUUUUACUAGGCAUACUGCCUGCAAACAUACUGUUAAUAAGGCACAUCCUGCACAGCCCCAAAUCCAUUAAACCUUGAUUCAAUACAGCACAUGUUUCUGUGAGCACAGGGUUGGGGCUAAAGUUACAGAUUAACAGCAUCUCAAAGCAGAAUAAUUGUUCUUAGUACAGAUCACAAUGGACUUUCUUAUGUCUUCCAUUUCUACAUAGACACAGUAACAAUCUGAUCUCCCUUUCUUUUCUCCACUCUUAAUUUUCAUCUUGAAUCUGAUGCCCUAAGACACCUGAGACUGUAAUUACUUUAUAUUAUAUCAGGUUCACAUUGCUUAUUACCCCUUUCUCCCUACCGAAAGUAAGCAUUCAUAUCCUUUCUUGUUCCCAAAAUAAUGUAGGGCAGCCAUAAAAACACAUCAAAUAUAGCACAAUAAAAACAUUGACUAUAAUUGAGAAAAAUAAGGUUAAAAAAUGAAUAGCUAUAGGAUGUUAUAUAGAACCAAGGCAAAUUCAAUCAUCAAACAUGUUAUAUCAAAUCCUAAACACUUGCUAGAGAUGGCU
rnacentral:lncRNA from 1 species